UUUUUUAAAGUUGGAAAUCAACUUGAUCUCUGUGCUUUGAUGAGGAAGGCUGGGCUACCGCUCGCAAAUCAUCCUCGAGACAAACACGGGCUGCUCGCACAACUCUCGCCACAGAUCAAGAUGAGGGCGAGGCAGAACGAGAACAAGAGAGGGAGGUAUCCGAGGACAAGGUUACUUACCCUUUUGAUGAAGAGGGGGACAACCUGAACUCCUGCGGGGGAAAAAAAUGAGAAUACGCGCAGGGCACCGAGGAUUGCUGUAUGCUGGAAUAUAACAGUUUCUCAGAGAAUGAAGAGCUGGAAUAAAGUCGGCGACGCGAGCGAAAGGAACAAAAUAGGGGAAAAAAUAUAGAAGAUGAAAAGAGCUCUUGCGCGUCGGUCUCUCCCUCUAUCCUGUGCUGUGUGAAA